rnacentral:rRNA from 1 species
GAUUUUAAGUYUGGCCUGCCCACUGAAUUGUUAAAUGGCCGCGGUAUAUUGACCGUGCAAAGGUAGCAUAGUCAGUAGUUUUUUAAUUGGAAGCUUGUAUGAAAGGUUCGAUGAGGGAAAGACUGUCUCUGUAAGAUUUUGUUAGAAUUUUAUUUUUAAGUUAAAAAGCUUAAAUGUUGAUGGAAGACGAGAAGACCCUAUAGAGUUUUAUAGGCUUGAGUAAAUUUAAUUUUUGGAAUUUUAAUUUAGAUUUACUUUAGUUUAUUUUGUUGGGGUGAUAGGAAAAUUUAUAAAACUUUUCUUUAAUUUUAUAUUGAUUAAUAGUUUGUUGAUCCUUGUUUAAAGAUAAAAAGAUUAAAUUACCUUAGGGAUAACAGCGUUAUUUUUUUUAGAGUUCUUAUCGAAAAAAAAGAUUGCRACCUCGAUGUUGGAUUAAAAUAAAUUAUUGGUGAARAGGCUAAUAGGUUAGGUCUGUUCGACCUUUAAAAUUUUACAUGAUCUGAGUUUAAACCGGUGUAAGCC